rnacentral:tRNA from 1 species
UACAGGAUAGCUAAGUGGUCAAGCACCGGAUAUUUUAAUCCGGGAAUCGCGGGUCCGAAUCCCGCUCCAACCC